rnacentral:rRNA from 1 species
UACGAAGGGGGCUAGCGUUGCUCGGAAUCACUGGGCGUAAAGCGCACGUAGGCGGAUUGUUAAGUCGGGGGUGAAAUCCUGGAGCUCAACUCCAGAACUGCCUUCGAUACUGGCGAUCUUGAGUCCGGGAGAGGUGAGUGGAACUCCGAGUGUAGAGGUGAAAUUCGUAGAUAUUCGCAAGAACACCAGUGGCGAAGGCGGCUUACUGGUCCGGUUCUGGACGCUGAGGCGCGAAAGCGUGGGGGAGCAAACAGGG